CAGAAGAUCAGAGAGGAGGACAGGAGAGAGGAGAGGAGGACAGAAGAUCAGAGAGGAGGUCAGAGAGGAGGACAGGAGGUCAGAGAGGAGGACAGGAGGUCAGAGAAGAGGUCAGAGAGGAGGACAGGAGGUCAGAGAGGAGGACAGGAGAUCAGAGAGGAGAGGAGGACAGGAGGUCAGAGAAGAGGGGUCACUAAUCCUGUGACACUGUCAUUUCAGAGGCUGGGUGGGCUUUGUUAUCUGGGUCACUGUCUGGGACAUCACACUACCAC
rnacentral:lncRNA from 1 species